rnacentral:rRNA from 1 species
CUCGUAGGCGGUUCGUCGCGUCCGGUGUGAAAGUCCAUCGCCUAACGGUGGAUCUGCGCCGGGUACGGGCGGGCUGGAGUGCGGUAGGGGAGACUGGAAUUCCCGGUGUAACGGUGGAAUGUGUAGAUAUCGGGAAGAACGCCAAUGGCGAAGGCAGGUCUCUGGGCCGUUACUGACGCUGAGGAGCGAAAGCGUGGGGAGCGAACA